AAAAUCCGCCGACUUUCAAAAUCGUGAGGGUUCAAGUCCCUCUAUCCCC
rnacentral:tRNA from 1 species